UUUUCGGCACUGAUUGAUCGGGUGGGGAUGGUCGAGUGAUCAAGGAAACGAAAUCACUUAGCAAAACCUAAGAAGCUAGUUGGAUGAUCUGGAGUAAAGAACAGAUCGAACAAUAAGCAGACAGAUCGGAUCAAUGAGUGUUGGAAGUAUUUCAGCGGCGGACGGGUGAGUAACGCGUGAGCAAUCUGUCCCAGAAUGGGGGAUAACACUUGGAAACAGGUGCUAAUACCGCAUAAGACCACGUCCUCGCAUGGGGAUGAGGUAAAAGGAGCAAUCCGAUCUGGGGUGAGCUCGCGUCCCAUUAGCUAGUUGGUGAGGUAACGGCCCACCAAGGCGACGAUGGGUAGCCGACCUGAGAGGGUGAUCGGCCACACUGGAACUGAGAAACGGUCCAGACUCCUACGGGAGGCAGCAGUGGGGAAUAUUGGGCAAUGGGCGAAAGCCUGACCCAGCAACGCCGCGUGAGGGAAGAAGGUUUUCGGAUUGUAAACCUCUGUCUUUGGUGACGAAAAAAAUGACGGUAGCCGAAGAGGAAGCCCCGGCUAACUACGUGCCAGCAGCCGCGGUAAUACGUAGGGGGCGAGCGUUGUCCGGAAUGACUGGGCGUAAAGGGCGCGUAGGCGGCUUUAUAA
rnacentral:rRNA from 1 species